rnacentral:ncRNA from 1 species
GAGAACUUUGAAGAGUGAAGUGGGGAAAUGUUCCAUGUGAACAUCACUUGGACAUGGCCAGUUAGUCGAUCCUAAGAGAUGGGGAAUCCUUGUAUCAAGGGUGCACUCAUCAUGAACAUCGAAAGAUAAUUGGGUUAAUAUUCUCGAACUGGGACAUGGUGGUGGACAACAAUGUUAGGAAAUAUGAUAUGUCAUCGAGGCCUGGGAAGAGUUAUCUUUUAUUUUUAACGACUUUCCCACCCUGAAAUCGGUUCAACUGGAGAUAGGUUCCAACAUAUAGAAGAGCACCACACAUAUUGCGGUGUUUGGUUCCCUCUCGACAGCCAUUGAAAAUAUGGAGAACCGAGUACCAUCCAUGCGCGAUCGUACUCAUAUUUUCCUCCUUGGAUUUUUCAAUGUCC